rnacentral:rRNA from 1 species
UACGGGGGGGAGCAAGCGUUGUUCGGAUUUACUGGGCGUAAAGGGCGCGUAGGCGGUCAGCACAAGUCAGUUGUGAAAUCUCCGGGCUUAACUCGGAAAGGUCAACUGAUACUGUGCGACUAGAGUGCAGAAGGGGCAACUGGAAUUCUCGGUGUAGCGGUGAAAUGCGUAGAUAUCGAGAGGAACACCUGCGGCGAAGGCGGGUUGCUGGGCUGACACUGACGCUGAUGCGCGAAAGCCAGGGGAGCAAACGGG